UGGGGAAUAUUGGACAAUGGGCGAAAGCCUGAUCCAGCAAUGCCGCGUGUGUGAAGAAGGCCUGCGGGUUGUAAAGCACUUUCAGUGGGGACCAAAAAGCGUGACCUAACACGUCUCGCCUUGAGUUAACCCAUAGAAGAAGCACCGGCUAACUCUGUGCCAGCAGCCGCGGUAAUACAGAGGGUGCAAGCGUUAAUCGGAAUCACUGGGCGUAAAGGGCGCGUAGGCGGUUCUUCAAGCGUGUGGUGAAAGUCCGGGGCUCAACCCCGGAUCGGCCGUGCGAACUGGGGGACUCGAGCACUGUAGAGGCGGGUGGAAUUCCGGGUGUAGCGGUGGAAUGCGUAGAGAUCCGGAAGAACACCAGUGGCGAAGGCGGCCCGCUGGGCAGUGGCUGACGCUGAGGCGCGACAGCGUGGGGAGCAAA
rnacentral:rRNA from 1 species